AACUCUGUGGGAGUUUAUUUUUGUGUAAAUACAUCAUCAAACAGCCCCUAAUUCAGUCCCAAGCUACAGUAUAUAAGAUGAGCCGCUGCCACACUUUGACAAGUUCAUCAGCUGGUAACAAACCUGCUCACAGCUCAGAUCUAGACUCAGAUUUGGUGCCUUUCAGCGUCUCAACAUGUGUUCGAGUCUCUCCACCAGCCGCCUGAUUCUUCUGAUCUCCCUGAGUGUGAUGAUGCUCAUCUUUGUAUCAGGAGCUGCCCAUGUGGAGAAAAACUGCUAUAAAACAUAUUCUAACCAAAAUGUAACAACCACAAAGGCUACACCUAAAUGGGCAAAAAACAUCAUCAGCUGCUUUGAACAAAACAGUCCAGACUGCCUUCAUGGCUAUGAGGUCAAAACACGUGCAGAAAGAACAUUUUUCCUCAGACCAAACACCCAGUGGAUAAAAAGGAAAAUAAAUGAGGGAACUCUGCUGUGUCCUCCAAUGAUUUCUAAAUGAUGAUGAUGGAAACGAUGAAACAGAAAUAUUUGUUAAGAAAUGUUGAUUAUUUUUGUAAAUUGUUCAUAUGACUUGAGUCUUAUAUAUUAUAUUUAUUAAAAAUGUCAUUAAAUAUGAAUGUUUGACCGUUUUUAUUCUGUCUUCAAUCUGAGAAGAAAGAUAAACAAUAAAAGCCUUUAAAAUCAGAUUUAUAAUGGUGUGUGUCAUUAUUUAGUAUUUGCUGUAACAACAUAUUCUCAUGAUGAUGUCACAUUCACAGGACACCGGGAGGCUGUGUUUAACACAGAUGGCAGAAGUAAAAGUAAAUAUUCA
rnacentral:lncRNA from 1 species